ACUCCUACGGGAGGCAGCAGUGGGAAUAUUGGACAAUGGGAACCGUAGCAUCCAGCCAUGCCGCGUGUGUGAAGAAGGCCUUCGGGUUGUAAAGCACUUUCAGUGGGGAGGAAGGAUAGUGUAGUUAACACCUGCACUAUUUGACGUUACCUACAGAAGAAGCACCGGCUAACUCCGUGCCAGCAGCCGCGGUAAUACGGA
rnacentral:rRNA from 1 species